rnacentral:rRNA from 1 species
UACAGAGGGGGCAAGCGUUAUUCGGAAUUAUUGGGCGUAAAGGGCGCGUAGGCGGCUUGGCAAGUGGAAGGUGAAAUCCCUCGGCUUAACCGAGGAACUGCCCUCCAAACUGCUUUGCUUGAGGCCGGGAGAGGUGAGUGGAAUUCCCAGUGUAGCGGUGAAAUGCGUAGAUAUUGGGAGGAACACCAGUGGCGAAGGCGGCUCGCUGGGACGGUACUGACGCUAAGGCGCGAAAGCGUGGGGAGCGAACAGG